GGAGAGUAUAGUGGAGGUUAGUUCAAGGAGGACAGGUGGUGCAUGGUUGUCGUCAGCUCGUGUCGUGAGAUGUUGGGUUAAGUCCCGCAACGAGCGCAACCCUUAUUGCUAGUUACCAUCAUUAAGUUGGGGACUCUAGCGAGACUGCCAGUGAUAAACUGGAGGAAGGUGGGGAUGACGUCAAAUCAUCAUGCCCCUUAUGACCUGGGCUACAAACGUGAUACAAUGGCUGAAACAAAGGGCAGCGAAGCAGUGAUGUGGAGCGAAACCCAAAAAAGCAGUCUCAGUUCGGAUUGAAGUCUGCAACUCGACUUCAUGAAGUUGGAAUCGCUAGUAAUCGUAGAUCAGAACGCUACGGUGAAUACGUUCUCGGGGUUU
rnacentral:rRNA from 1 species